rnacentral:rRNA from 1 species
ACUCCUACGGGAGGCAGCAGUGGGGAAUCUUGGACAAUGGGGGCAACCCUGAUCCAGCCAUGCCGCGUGAGUGAUGAAGGCCCUAGGGUCGUAAAGCUCUUUCGCCUGUGAUGAUAAUGACAGUAGCAGGUAAAGAAACCCCGGCUAACUCCGUGCCAGCAGCCGCGGUAAUACGGAGGGGUUAGCGUUGUUCGGAAUUACUGGGGCGUAAAGCGCGCGUAGGCGGACUAUUAAGUCAGGGGUGAAAUCCCGGGGCUCAACCCCGGAACUGCCCUUGAUACUGGUAGUCUUGAGUUCGAGAGAGGUGAGUGGAAUUCCGAGUGUAGAGGUGAAAUUCGUAGAUAUUCGGAGGAACACCAGUGGCGAAGGCGGCUCACUGGCUCGAUACUGACGCUGAGGUGCGAAAGUGUGGGGAGCAAACAGGAUUAGAUACCCUGGUAGCGACUGA